GUGCGCAUGUGCGCGGGCGAGCGGGCGGGGGCGCAGACAGGUGACGCUAAGGGUGGGGCUGGCAGUGCGCAGGCAUCUUCGAGCAGGUAACGCGAGACUGGCUGACUGAAGCCUUGUGAGGUUGGCGUCCUGCCAUCGCCACACGCACGAUGAGUAAGUUCCUUGUGAACAUAUAUGCAUCAUAUUGCACCUGUUGAUGGACACCAAUUACAUUUCCUUGCUAUUGUGAAUAGAAGGGCGAUAGGCACGAUCUGAGUGCUGGUUUUGAAUUUACUGUGUGACCCAGGCUAGCAUCAAACCUACAGCAAUCCUUCUGCUUCAGCCUCCCAAAUUAUGGAUUGCAGGU